rnacentral:rRNA from 1 species
AGCAGUCGCCACGGGAAUACGAAGGGGGCUAGCGUUGCUCGGAAUGACUGGGCGUAAAGGGCGCGUAGGCGGAUUGUUUAGUUAGGCGUGGAAUUCCCGGGCUCAACCUGGGGGCUGCGUUUGAUACUUGGUUGCUUGAGUGGGGAAGAGGGUCGUGGAAUUCCCAGUGUAGAGGUGAAAUGCGUAGAUAUCGGAAGGAACACCUGUGGCGAAAGCGGCUCACUGGACCAUUUCUGACGCUGAUGCACGAAAGCUAGGGGAGCAAACAGGAUUAGAUACCCCCGUAGUCCCUGUCUCUUAUAC